GAAGCAGCCACCAUUUAAAGAGUGCGUAAUAGCUCACUGGUCGAGUGACUCUGCGCCGAAAAUGUACCGGGGCUAAACGUAUCACCGAAGCUGCGGACUGUUCUUCGAACAGUGGUAGGAGAGCGUGCUAAGGGCUGUGAAGCAAGACCGGAAGGACUUGUGGAGCGCUUAGAAGUGAGAAUGCCGGUAUGAGUAGCGAAAGAGGGGUGAGAAUCCCCUCCACCGAAUGCCUAAGGUUUCCUGAGGAAGGCUCGUCCGCUCAGGGUUAGUCGGGACCUAAGCCGAGGCCGAAAGGCGUAGGCGAUGGAUAACAGGUUGAUA
rnacentral:rRNA from 1 species